rnacentral:rRNA from 1 species
UACGUAGGGGGCGAGCGUUGUCCGGAUUUAUUGGGCGUAAAGAGCUCGUAGGCGGUUUGGUAAGUUGGAUGUGAAAUCUCCAGGCUCAACUUGGAGGGGUCAUUCGAUACUGCCAUGACUAGAGUUCGGUAGGGGAGUGUGGAAUUCCUGGUGGAGCGGUGAAAUGCGCAGAUAUCAGGAGGAACACCGGUGGCGAAGGCGGAUCUCUGGGCCUGUCCUGACGCUCAGGCGCGAAAGCUAGGGGAGCGAACAGG